UCUCUCAAAAUAAACUUUAAAAAAAAGAUAAUGGUUUGUUAUUAUUGCUUUGUUUGAUAAAAUAUACACAAAAAGUGAACUGCUUUUCUCUUAGUUUUGGUUGGUAAUACUCUGCCUUCAAAGAUGUAAUUCUAUGGAUGCAACUUAAUUCCAAAAUUGAAGGAUCCUUAAAGGACCAAACAAUAUUAUGUAGCAGCUAUAUAAUUUACUAGGAAGGAAAGUGAGAGAAAAAAAAUUCAAAGCAGUAUUAUUGGUAUGAACAUUUUGCCUAGAAAUACACAAACAGUUCAUAUGUUUUUUUUAUUAAUAAACUCUUAAUUUUAGGAUAGUUUAAGGUUUACAGAACAAUUACAAACAUAGUAGAGAGAGUUCCAUAUACCCCAACCCAAUUUCCCCUAUUUUUAGCAUCUUACCUUAAUAUGGUAACCACGACACAACAAAUGAGCUAAUAGUGAUAUGUUAUAAUUAACCAAAGUCUUUUCUUUAUUCACAUUCCCUUUGUUUUUAUCUAAUGUCUUUUUUUUGUUCUAGGAUUCAGUCCAAUGUAUAACAUUACAUGUAGUCAUCAUGUCUUCUUCCUUCCUUUCUUUCUAGAGGGAGAGACAGAGAGAGAGAGAGAGAGAGAGAGAGAAUGUGUGGGCAUGCGGGAGAGGGGCAGAGGGAGAGAGAAAGAAAAUCUUAAGCAGGCUCCAUGUGCUCAACAAGGAGCCUGACUAGGAGCUUGAUCCCAUGACCCUGGGAUCAUGACCUGAGCCAAAAUGAAGAGUUGGAUUCUCAACCGACUGAGCCACCCACCCAGAUGCUCCAGUCAUCAUGUCUUCUUAGGUUCCUCUUGGUUAUGGCAGUUUCUUUGACUUUUCUUGUUUUUGCUGGGCUUCACAGUUUUGAGAGGUGUUGAUGAGGUGUUUUGUAGAAGGUCUCUCAAUUAGGACUUGUCUGAUUUUUGUCCUUAUGAUUAGACUGGGUUUUUGAGUUUUAUGGAGGAAGACCAACAACAAUUGUAUCAGGAGUAUAUGCUAUCAACAUGACCUAUAGCUGUUGAUGCUGACCUUGAUCACCCAACUGAGGUGGUGUUUGUCAGGUUUUUCCACCAGAAAGUUACUUUUUUUUUUUUUUCCUGAUUUCCAUCUAUACUCUUUGGAAGGAAGUCACUACUAUAUGCAGCCCACACUUCAGAGAUAAGGAGUUAUACUCAACCUUCUAUGAGAUAUUUAAAGUUAAUUUUUGUGAAAUGUGUAACAUCUGUGUCUAGUGUUAUUUAUUCAUUUUGUGUAUGAAUGUCCACCUGUUGCACCACCAUUUAAAGACUGUCCUUUAUCCACUGAAUUAUCUUUGUGCCUUUGUAAAAAUCAAUUAACUAUAUUUGUGUGGCCCAUUCAUGUGACUUUGAAGGUACAUUUGAAAGUGAUUCUUGAGAAAAUUAGUUGGCUUUUAUUUCGGUAGUCUGUGUAAUUUAAUUUUUUUUUUACUUAAAAAAUUUUUUUAAAUCUUUAUUUAUUUUUGAGAGACAGAGGCAGAGUUUCAGUAGGGGAGGAACAGAAAGGGAGACACAAAAUCCGAAGCAGGCUCCAGGCUCUGAGCUGUCAGCACAGAGCCCGAUGUGGGGCUCGAACUCACCAACCAUGCGAUCAUGACCUGAGCCGAAGCCAGACGCUCAGCCGACUGAGCCACCCAGGUACCCCUGAAAAUACUGGAGAAUGGAUUCCACAAAAUAAGGAUAGAAACCGAGAAGAUCACAUAGGAUCCAGGAAACAGGACUUGAACCAGGAAAGAGGCAAGGGGAUGUCCAGGUAGAUUGACCAGUUCCAAUUUGCCUGAGCCUGAUGCCAAAUGUGGAACUUUCAGCUUUAAAACUGGGCCGAUCCCUGGCAAAUUGGGAUGAGUUGGUCAUCCGAUGUCCAGGAUAAGAGUGAAGAGAAGUCCCAGGCAGAGAGCUGGCAGCAGAUGUGGAACAACUGGACCAGAUGGGAAGGCAAGAGUGCUUCAAAAAAAAUAUAUAUUUUUAAAUAUUUAUUUACUUUUGAGACAAUGUGAGAGACAGAGUGCAAGCAGAGGAGGGUCAGACAGAGGAAGACACAGAAUCUGAAGCAAGCUCCAGGCUCUGAGCUGUCAGCACAGAGCCAGAUGUGGGGCUGGAACCCACAAACCACAAGAUCAUGACCUGAGCCGAAGUCGGAGGCUCAACCAACUGAGCCACUCAGGCGCCCCACAAGAGCGCUUCAGAUGGGUUAUCUGGAAAAUACAUCCAGGGGAAAAGACAUACAUAUAUAUACUUACAUAUGUGUGUGUAUGUAUUUCCUGGUGAGUUUGAAUGUAUUAAAAAUUAAAGAAAUUCCUCUUUGGGGGGGGGGAGUUUAGAAAAAAAAAUAAAGGCACACUGGCAAUGAAACCAGUGAGGGUAGUAGAGACAAUAGGGAAAACAAAAAGUUAUAGAUGAAAGAAGGUGAAACUGGGACAUUACCAUGGCUCUUCUGUGGAUUAUAUUUACAUAACCCUGCUAAUGUAAGCACGGACUAUUGCUCCAACCAGUUCUAUCUAUCAAAAUGGAGGAGAAAGAGGGAGGAAGAAUGUGUGUGAAGAAAGUUCAUAAAUCAUUGUCUUUAAUAAUAUUUUUUUAGUCUCCUAAAAAAAAAUGCAUGUCAUUUAAAAACAUGGAGGCCAAUUCCA